GGUUGUCUGAGAUGCUCCUGGAAGCAGGGUGCUGGAUGACCUAGACUUUAUCAGAAGGUAGACCUAGCAGAGGGAGAUUGCUUUUAUGACUGAUCUUUAUGACAAACUUUACACUUCACAUUUAACAGCACCUUCUGUCCUGGGCAUGAGGAAAUAUAGAUAUUUAUUGACAUAGGAUGUCAGAAGAUCAAGGAAAAUUGACUCUGGAGAAGGAAGGAGGAGGGGUUUAUCUCUUUGCUCAGGUGUCCAUGAAAACUAGCCUGGGUCUAAGGAAUCUCACCCUCAAGCUCCAGGAUUUGCAGCCUCCACCUGAAGAGCUGAGGAAGAAGCUUUUGCAGCUGGUGAAGUCUCCCUCCCAUUGCUGCUGCAAGAAGCUAGAGAGCUUGGAGUGAAUGACAAUUUGGAGAAACAGCCGCAGUCUGAAGAUCUAAGAGGCUCUAAAGAAGAUGGAUAAGAAAAUCGAUGCAUAAUAAAAGCUGCAGGCAAAGCCACCUUGACACAGGGCCGGUAGCUUUCUCUUGCUGCCCUUAGUCCCCCCAGGUUCAGGCCUGUGUCUUAACUACCUUCCUCUUUUUUCA